rnacentral:piRNA from 1 species
UCACUUUCAGGCUGAUCAUUAGGUACU